AGAGUUGCCACACGCUGUCG
rnacentral:misc_RNA from 1 species